CCUCUCGUAGCUUAGUGGUUAAAGCGUAAAGCCAAAAAUACCGGGUUCGAUUCCCGGCGAGGGUA
rnacentral:tRNA from 1 species